AUCAGUGUUUUGAACUGUGCAUCACUUCAGUCCUUCAGUAAAGCGUGGUUGUUCUGGCAGGGUUCAGCGUCGAGCUUCAGUGAUGUUCAGACAGACCGGACGACUUUGAACACUUUGCUAAAUGCCAUUGAGGAAGCUAACGGCCACACCAGAGCCCUGACAGCACCCAGCCAACAAGACGGAGCCACACACACCACGACAGUCCUCUCAAACAGCUCUGUGUGUGAUCCAGCCCCAGUGCAUCGUGGGCGAGUGAAGCCGCCAGUGUCUCGUCCACCCGCCCGUUUGGCCUUCUUACGGCAGAUGGAGCAGCAUGAACUCAGUGCUAUACAGGAAGUGGAUUCGCCAGUCAACAUCAGCCUGGACGCAGGUACACGAGCUCCAGCUCAUAUCCUCAGUCAGGAUGUGUGUCUGACCUCAUGUGACGAGUCUGUGCUCUCUGAUUGGCUCCUGCAGAGCUGCAGUCUGUUGAUGUGAGCGGGUCCAGCAGCACGUCUCUGCCCGCCAUCUCCUCUGAAGACGCUCACAGCGUGGCUCACAGGUCACAGGUCACGGGCAGAAGCAGCCGCAUGUCCUGGAGAGAGACACUCCUGUGUGACUCCACAGCCUCAGCGAGUAAGAAGCGCCACACUCACCGCUGCUCUGGUUUAUCACUGUGCUGUAUAGUUGGGAAGCUGUGUGAUGUGCAGAACAGAGCUGGAGGCUCAAGAAAUACAGUGUGUUCGUUAGAAAUCUGUCUCUGAAGCCUGCUUCCCUUGGUUACCGUUGCUAAGGCUGUCAGGCGAAUUUAGUUCAGGAGUGAUUAAAUAAGAUCUGGUUUAACGGUGAAUUCAUAUUAAUAAUAAUCUAUAGUCAUUGAGGACUUCAGGAUGCGUCCAGAACAGAGAUACAGGGAGAGACCUGUGAUGCACAAAACAAAUGUUUAACGAGACAAGCGUGAGUUCUCUCCCAGUUAUUCUUGAUGAUGUUUUUGUUGGCGUGCACAUGACUGUUCAGAACCUUUUAAAUGUGCGAGAGGCUGGUGGAUCUCAACCACAGGGUGACUUGAUGACCUUACGUUAUUCAAAAUGAUAAAAUAACGUUCUUCUCGCUCUGAAGACGUGGCGUUCUCCGUCUGCUUGACCCUGAGUUGAUUACAUGUGUUCCUCGUCCACUCACUGAAGCGCUCGUCCAUAAUCAUCCAACAGGAAUCACCUCAGUUCCUCUCGAUCUGCUCGAUGUCCAGUUCUCCGCCCAGCUGGAGUGAGUCCCGCCCACUCCGGCUGCAGAGCCCCGCCCACAGACACUCGCGCUCCUUCCCAUUGCUCCGCCCCGCUGGCCAGCUGGCCUCUGAUUGGUGGAUGACGGCGUCGUCUUUGGUCUGGUGCUGGUGGAGCGUGACGUCACCCUCGGUGUGGAGCUCGUCUCCUAUGUGGACGAUUAAGCACUAAGGUAUUAUCACCAGCUUGCUGCUUUGAAACAAUUUGUAUUGUGCAAAGUGCUAUUCAAAUAAUAAUGGACUUGAGUUAAGUUGUUUAAUU
rnacentral:lncRNA from 1 species